rnacentral:lncRNA from 1 species
AGGCGGGCCUCGGGGCCUGCAGCGGACCGGGGGCGGGGCUCCGAGGCCUGAGAGCGGCGACCGACUUCUCAGCAGCCUCGCCUGUCCGAUCCCGCCAGCCUCCUGAUGCUGCUCAAGGACAAUGACCGGCCUGAGCCCGUGCCCAGUGGGGUGCGCGAGCUCGCGCUCUUCCUGACCCCCGACCCCGGGGCAGAGGCAAGGGAGGUGGAGGCAGCCAUCAAGGGGAUGCUCCUCCUGCUAGAAGAGUUUUGCAGCCUGACGGACAUGAUCAGGAGCGACACUUCACAGAUCUUAGAGGAGAGCAUCCCACUCCUUAAGGCCCAAGGGACAGAAGUGCGGGGCAUCUAUGGCAAAGUGGACCGGCUUGGGGUGCACGCAGGAAAACAUGGUUUCCCCACGAGACAGCAGGCUCGGUCAGGCCUUUGCCCUCUCUUCCGAGACACUGAUGUGUCCUUGAGUGUUGGCGCUGGGCCCAGUGGAGAGUCCGGGCCUUCAUCAAGAUGGUCGGGUGCCACGCUGCCUUCCUGGAAGCCCACGUGCCGCAGGCCAAGCGGGACUGUGGGGCCUUCCCUCAGGCCCUGUGCAGGUGGCUGGGCUCCCAGGUGCUGUCCUCCUGCAGGAAUACAGGAAGUGGUCAGGAGUACAGCCUCACCCUCCCUGUGGCUGCAGUCUCCUCACGGCCUGCAUGUCAGGCUUCAUUGCUGCGACUCCUCAUGAACUCAUCCCCCUCUUCUUGAGCACCUACUAUUUACCAGGUAGCAGGCUCCAUGCGUUGUUACCAUGGUGAGCAGAAGCAACCCUACUCUAUUUGAUGGUGCUGGGGGCCACAUCAGGAUUCAGGCCAUGGCCUCCUUCCCCGGGCACCAGCCAGCCUCGAGCUGAGCCGAAGAGCAGAGGAAGGCCGGAAGCCCGUCCUCCCACAUACCUGCUUUGUCCAGGGCCUCCUCCCCAUGGCCCCACAAGGAAAGGAAGAACACUGUGUCCUUUUUUCUUAUGUCAAAACUGAGGCCAGAUAAAUCCUGCAACUGAGACUUUCCUUGUUCUUUCAUUUUUUUGAGGCAGUCUCAUUGUCUAGCUCAGGCUGGCCUUGAACUUGUGAUCCUCUUGCCUCAGCUUCCUGAGUGCUUUAAGGGCUGGACAGUAGCCAGCCAGCCAGCCAGUGGGGCUGGACCUCAGGGUCCAGGAACUCCUACUGACCCCUCAGAGCCCAAGUGAAUGCCACCUCCAGUAGGUGCCCCCUGGGAUGGCCCCUCUCCAGACAAACUUGAGUUACGGUGACCACUCUUGGGGGACCAGGACCCCAGCAUCUCCCCAUUGGUGGCUUUCAAGGUGCACAAUGGGGAGAAAGGACAGAGGACCUUGGCAAAGCCUGGGCCCUCAGCAGUUGUGCCAGCAGUGGGUGCUGUGAGGCCCUGGUCCCCACACUUACAUCCCCCCUCAGACCUGCAGCCGUUCCCACCAGGCUGUGUCCACUUCCUGGCUCAGAGGUGGACACUGAGACUCUGUGGGCGGCCAGUGCUGGGUGAGCCCCAGGCCUGUGGGACCCUCCUCUCCACUAGACUCCGGUGUGCACUGUGCUCCAAGGAGCCCCUGACCUACCUGUGGGGACUUGUUCCAGGAAACUUGUUCCACCCGGGGUGAUGAGUCACCCUCAGCCCGGGUGUUGAUCUUGGCCCUACUGGGGCUCGUCUGGGGAGGUGGUACAGGUGAGUGCACACAGCGUGUGUAGGCCUCAGCGUUUCCAGUGCUCUUCCUGCACCAGGCCUCAAGCCAGAGGGCCCUUCUAGAAUGAUCCUUAUGGCCCCUGCUAGGCCAACUCUGUAGGCACUGCAUACCCGCCUGACAAAGUAGGUCUGUUCACUGUUUCUAUCUCAAAGAUGAGGAAACCGAGGCACCAAGGGAUCGAGUUACUUCCCUCUCAGUGCAUGAGGGAGUCGGGAUUUGAACCUGUGACUUCUAGUAUGGAUGCCUUGUUUCCUGCUGGGCCAGUGUGUGACCAGUCUAACCAGUGGGCCUGCUGCUGGGGAGGUGAGGGUCCAUGUGGACCCCCUGGAGGUUCUGUUUCUUUCACCCAGAUUCCCCUGGAGCCAGGGUUUCAUGCAGCCUCCAGCUGGUCCCCAGUGCCUGCUCUGGUGGACGUGUCCUCCUGGCAAGGCCACCGUCCUCUGCCCCUCUGCUGCUGGAUGCCCCGCUAGACUCAGAGAGCUUUACUUUUGCCCCUCCCUAACCCCUCCCCCAGGUUGUUCCAGGUGGAUCAGUGCGGCUCCAGGCUCUAGAGGCCAUUCAGGGAGACUGGCCUCCCUUCCCAGCUGCCCACCUCCAUCUCCCUGCCCUGAGGGUUCCUUGCAGUGGGGAGGCCCCAUGGGCAC